GGAGUGGCCGCCCCUCGACCGGCAGCGUCAGAAGCGGCAGAGUGAGCGGUGAGGUGUACGUUCCUUGCAGCUGUUUCUUAUCCUUCCCUGAGCACUACCAAGCGUUGAUACCUGGUGUACUUCGUGGUCCCAUAAACCCACACGAGCCAAGAGACCCGAGGGAAGCUGCACUCCGCUCACACUUCCUUCGACCAGGACUACAGGACACCUCAGUAUUGGCUGGAAGGGUCAUCAUCAUCAUCAUCAGCAGCAGCAGUAGUACAAAGAUGGUGGUAAACAAGUAUCUGGUCACAGGAAUCAAGAGUGAGGAACUUAGUGAGUGUAUGCUGCGCUGAGUCGAGUGUAUGUUGCGCUGAGUCGGUGGAGGAAAGCUGCUUCUCACACCUCUCCUGCAUCUGAACUCGGGGUCACCAGCAGGCAUGUCCCCCAAGUGGUUUGAGGCGUCAGGAAACUCCGUAAUUGGAGGGAAAAUAAAUUUUAACCUGUU